UGGGGAAUAUUGCACAAUGGGCGAAAGCCUGAUGCAGCGACGCCGCGUGAGGGAUGACGGCCUUCGGGUUGUAACCUCUUCAGUAGGAACAAGGCCAGCAUUUUGUUGGUUGAGGGUACUUGCAGAAGAAGCGCCGGCUAACUACGUGCCAGCAGCCGCGGUAAUACGUAGGGCGCAAGCGUUAUCCGGAAUUAUUGGGCGUAAAGAGCUCGUAGGCGGUUUGUCGCGUCUGCCGUGAAAGUCCGGGGCUCAACUCCGGAUCUGCGGUGGGUACGGGCAGACUAGAGUGAUGUAGGGGAGACUGGAAUUCCUGGUGUAGCGGUGAAAUGCGCAGAUAUCAGGAGGAACACCGAUGGCGAAGGCAGGUCCCUGGGCAUUAACUGACGCUGAGGAGCGAAAGCAUGGGGAGCGAACAGGAUUAGAUACCC
rnacentral:rRNA from 1 species